rnacentral:rRNA from 1 species
GACGAACGCUGGCGGCGUGCUUAACACAUGCAAGUCGAACGGUAAGGCCCUUCGGGGUACACGAGUGGCGAACGGGUGAGUAACGCGUGAGUAACCUGCCCUUCACUCUGGGAUAGCAGUUGGAAACGGCUGCUAAUACCGGAUAUUCAGCUCCUGUCGCAUGGUGGGGGUUGGAAAGUUUUGGUGGUGGAGGAUGGGCUCGCGUCCUAUCAGCUUGUUGGUGGGGUGAUGGCCUACCAAGGCGUCGACGGGUAGCCGGCCUGAGAGGGCGACCGGCCACAUUGGGACUGAGAUACGGCCCAAACUCCUACGGGAGGCAGCAGUGGGGAAUAUUGCACAAUGGGCGGAAGCCUGAUGCAGCAACGCCGCGUGCGGGAUGACGGCCUUCGGGUUGUAAACCGCUUUCAGCAGGGACGAAGCGCAAGUGACGGUACCUGCAGAAGAAGCACCGGCUAACUACGUG